UACGUAGGGUGCAAGCGUUAAUCGGAAUUACUGGGCGUAAAGCGUGCGCAGGCGGUUGUGUAAGACAGAUGUGAAAUCCCCGGGCUCAACCUGGGAACUGCAUUUGUGACUGCACAGCUGGAGUGCGGCAGAGGCACAUGGAACUCCCGGUGUAGCGGUGGAAUGCGUAGAGAUCGGGAAGAACACCCGUGGCGAAGGCGGUGUGCUGGGUUGCACCUGACGCUGAGAUGCGAAAGUGUGGGGAGCAAACGGGG
rnacentral:rRNA from 1 species